rnacentral:rRNA from 1 species
CCUACGGGAGGCAGCAGUGGGGAAUCUUGCGCAAUGGGCGAAAGCCUGACGCAGCAACGCCGCGUGCGGGAAGAAGGCCUUAGGGUUGUAAACCGCUUUCAGUAGGAACGAAAAUGACGGUACCUGCAGAAGAAGGUGCGGCCAACUACGUGCCAGCAGCCGCGGUGACACGUAGGCACCAAGCGUUGUCCGGAUUUAUUGGGCGUAAAGAGCUCGUAGGCGGUUCAGUAAGUCGGGUGUGAAAACUCUGGGCUUAACCCAGAGCCGCCACUCGAUACUGCUGUGACUUGAGUUCGGUAGGGGAGCAGGGAAUUCCUAGUGUAGCGGUGAAAUGCGCAGAUAUUAGGAGGAACACCGGUGGCGAAGGCGCUGCUCUGGGCCGAUACUGACGCUGAGGAGCGAAAGCGUGGGUAGCAAACAGGAUUAGAUACCCUGGUAGUCCACGCCGUAAACGUUGGGCACUAGGUGUGGGUUCCAACCACGGAAUCCGCGCCGUCGCUAACGCAUUAAGUGCCCCGCCUGGGGAGGUACGGCGGCGACGACAAACUACGAAGAAGUAGACGGCGUGAGACGUUGCGAGGACGACGACGAGGGAGGAGG